rnacentral:RNase_P_RNA from 1 species
ACCGCAGACCGCCUUAUCGUUCCCGAUUAUAUCGGGAGAGGAAAGUCCGGACACCAUAGAGAAGCAUAGCGGGUAACACCCGUCGGUAAAUUUGGAUUGAAUUCUGAAUUUGCAAGGACAAGUGCAACAGAAAGUAUGUACAGGUUAAGCUGUAGUGAAACCAGGUAAACUCUAUGCGGUGAAAUUUCAAGUAUAUCAGCAUUUAAGGGUUUCUCGUCCGUUGCUGAAGGGUAGAAAGAUGGAUUCUUAGAGUAAUUUAAGAACUAGAUAAAUGAUAAGGGUCCCGAUCCUAUCGGGAUACAGAAUCCGGCUUAUAGGUCUGCAUUUUUU